rnacentral:misc_RNA from 1 species
AUGCGAUAAGUAAUGUGAAUUGCAGAAUUCAGUGAAUCAUCGAAUCUUUGAACGCAACUUGCGCUCCUUGGUAUUCCAUGGAGCAUGCCUGUUUGAGUGUCACGUAAACCCUCACCCUUGCGAUGUCACAGUCGACUUGUGGUGGAUUUGGACUGUGCCGUAAUUGGCUCAUCCUGAAAUGCAUUAGCUUGCGCUUGUUACAGUGCUCGGCAUGGUGUGAUAAUUAUCUGCGCCGUCGCCUUAGGCCUGUUCUAUAUGUGCAGCUUCUAAUCGUCCCUUGCGGACAACUUACUUAACACUUUGGCCUCAAAUCAGGUAGGACUACCCGCUGAACUUAA